rnacentral:lncRNA from 1 species
CUCUUAAAGCCAAUGACUUUUGCCUACUUAAGCUUAUGGACAUGGAUAUGUCAUUUGAAGCAAUCCCGAUGAAGAAAAAACCAAUCCUAAGUGCACUUAAGGUUCUUUUUCCUCUAUUAUAUAUUCUCACAAACAUAAUUCCUCCAUAACCUGCGCUUCUAAAUAAGGCUUGCUCAAUAUCUUAAGAACUUGUUACAUAACAAAUAAUAAAAUAUAAGUGAUUACCAAAUAAAAUCAUGGGAUAAUCUCAAGGCCUAAUGUGAACUUGGUUCUAUAAGGGAAACUAAGAUUGGGAUAACCAAAUAAAAUACAUAAAAGACUUAAAAUAAAAAGGUAAACAAACAGAGAUAAGAAACAAUGCCAAUGCCUAGUUGCACUUAACCUUUAAUAAUGAACAAUAAAUUGAAGCACCAUACAUUUAGAAGUAUUCAGUAAUAAAAACUGAA